GAUGCUGUGCGGAUAAACAAGAGUAAAUGCCGUGCAGAUAAUGUGCAUCAUUAGUGACUGAGGCAGUCAUGUAACAGUGGAAAACUGCCGACACCGCAAGGUAAACCGGUGUACCCUAGUGUCUAUAUCAGCGCUAAAGCUGGCAAUCGUCCGAGGGGACAAGAAACUUGGCAAGAGGCGUCGCCCUUAUCCCGUAGCGAAGAUGAAGGCCAACCUGGUACGUCGUCUGGUUGGCACGUCCGUGACCUAAGGCCUCUGAUCGGGUCUCUUCCGGUCGAAGAAGAGGAACAAGGCCAAGGUGCAACGCUGCUGAGCAUGACGACGAUCGUGACUAGUUCCGAGGCAACCGAGGUGUCCUCGGUGAACGUGACUACCCUGUUCAACGCCAUCUCCGAGGACAAUCAGUUCGUAAACAGCAGUUACUCGAACGAACAGAAGUGGUCGGUGCCCACCACCAUAGCCAAAGGCUGUCUGUUAGGCUCCAUCAUCGUGACGGCGGUGUUCGGUAACCUGCUGGUGAUGGUGUCCGUGAUGCGUCACAGAAAGCUGCGCAUCAUCACCAACUACUUCGUGGUCUCUUUAGCGUUGGCCGACAUGCUCGUGGCGAUGUUCGCCAUGACGUUCAACGCCAGCGUGCAGAUGACGGGCAGAUGGCUGUUCGGUUACUUCAUGUGCGACGUCUGGAACUCGUUGGACGUCUACUUCAGCACCAGCUCCAUACUCCACUUGAUGUUCAUCUCGGUCGACCGUUACUACGCGAUCGUGAAGCCGCUCAAGUACCCCAUCAUCAUGACCAAGAGGCUGGCCGCCUACAUGCUGCUCGCCUGUUGGAUCAUGCCGGCGUUCAUCUCGUUCAUGCCCAUAUUCAUGGGCUGGUACACCACCGCCGAGAACAGCGAGUACCGGCAGAAGCAUCCGGAGCGCUGCGAGUUCAAGGUGAACAAGGUGUACGUGAUAUUCUCCUCCAGCAUCUCCUUCUGGAUACCCUGCACGAUCAUGACGCUCACCUAUCUCGCGGUCUUCAAAGAGGCCAACAGACAAGAGAAACAGAUGCACAGCAGGAUGGGUAAUGUCAUGCUGCUCAGCCACAGGCCCAGCAAGGAUCUCAACAAUCUCAACGGGGAACUCAACAGCGCGGGAUCCUCCAAGACUUUAACUCUCAACGAGAUCAACACUGAUCAUUUGCAUACACCUACCAAGGAUAAGAAUAUCAUGAAGAUGAAGAGAGAGCACAAGGCUGCUAGGACGUUAGGCAUCAUUAUGGGUACCUUCAUAAUCUGUUGGCUGCCAUUUUUCUUAUGGUACGUUAUCACGACAUUGUGCGGCGAGGAUUGUCCGUGUCCCGACAUCGUGAUCGCGUUACUGUUCUGGAUCGGAUACACGAACUCUGCGCUGAAUCCGCUGAUCUACGCGUACUUCAACCGUGACUUCCGAGAAGCCUUUAAGAACACAUUGCAGUGCGCGUUCUGUUCGCUCUGCAGACGAGAGCCGUCCGACCUCGAGGCGCUCGAUUUCCGUCGGCCGUCCCUAAGGUACGACGACCGCACUAAGAGUAUAUACUCGGAGACGUACAUGAAGCACGUCGACCGACGAAGAUCGAGCGAGUUUGGUAGCAGUCUCUGAGAUGAGAGUCUCGUCUUUGUACCGUAAAAAAACCGCAUCCGCGAAAAAGACACGUAUAAAUACGUACACCCACCUAAACACAUCCGUACCGUCGCCUAUAUACGCACGCAACAAAAUGGACGCGUACAACUCGACUGUAUACGUACAGAACGUGUAGUUCACCUCCGCCAUCUUGCCAAAAUGAGAAGGACUCGAGUACUCGCGUUUUUCGGCCUCGUGUGCUUACCUCUUACAACGUUUUCAUGUAAAUUACUUUCAAGGUAUUUGAAGGUGAAAUUUAUUUGAAGAUCAAAGUCAUUUGAAUGUCAAAUUCAUUUCAGAGUGAAAUUCGUUUGAAGAUGAAAUUCAAUUCUGGGUGAAAUCUUGAGUUUUAUGUAUUGUCGUUCGGGACCAUCUGUCAGAGAUUGUUGUCGAUUAAUACUCAAACGAAAGUAUUGAGGGUGAUGGUGUUUUGUAUACGAUCGCAACAGCAUCAGUCGAGAUUUCUACCUUUGUCAAGGUUGAAAUUUAGAGUAGUGUUGAAACUACUCGAAGUACAGUUGAGGUUUCCCGAAAUAUUUCAAUGUCUGAUUUAGAUAAGUGACAUGAUGUACAGAUGGUCUCUUAUGACAACGCAGUUCAACGUGGUCCAAACUUGCUUCACAUAGUGGCGCCAGUUCAAAUAACUGUGUCCUAUUAACUGAAAGUAAUAUCAGCAAAUUACUCAACAUACUCAGAAAAUUGUCAUAUGCAGACAGUAAACUGACAGCAAUAUUUGGACACCAGCAAUGAAAGUAUCAUCCAGAAAUAUCCAGACUAACCGAAAGCGACCUAACCAGAAAUACUCAGACAUCAAACCAACCAACAGCAUCGAAACAUCAAAUCAGUGCAUCACAGUAAAAUAAUGAACCACAUAAUCCAAAAUUGAACGUAAACGUUUACAGCCCCAAAAAGCAAUAAACAUACAGAACAAACAAUCUGUCAGUGCAAACACGGUGCACAACGUGAAAUAACUUGAUAAAAGUUCGCUUUGUAAACGUUUACUGACAACAAGAGCUGAUUUCGCAUCGUCUCGUUAAGCAAAAUCAGUGCUCAUCAGACCACACAUGAAUGAUAAAAUGUAGCUGUUGAGAGCGGGAGCACACGUGGCCAGAAAGCAUAGGGACACACGGGAACCGGGUAACACGUACACACCUGGAACGCAUCAUCAUUGCCAAAGAUAGUAUUUUUAAGCGAACUUUACACUGAUCAGGAGACACGUUUCACGCUGGAAUCGAUCACUCGACGAGCAAAGUACCCCGGAAAUCAAGGGAUAAUUUCGUUCAUGAACCAAUUUCCAGGCUGUAUCCUUCGUAAGGGGAAGAUGGGUGAACUGGUUUGUGGGAUUCUUGGGGAUUCGAGGACGGUAGUCAGAAGUUGGCGUAACUAGGAUCUUUGAGGUGGAUGUGGAUGUGGGUGGAUGGACGAGGAUGUGGGUGGAUUGAUGAGGAUGUGGAUGGGCUGAUGAUGUCAUUGUUAGGUAGAUGGUUGAGGGUUGAGUGGGGGAUUUGGAUAUGGGGAGAUAUGAGGAUUCCUAAGUCUCCAAGUCUGUAUAUUACCAAAUCUCUAUGUACCUUGUAGUCUACAACCACUAUAGUAUGUACCCUAUCUCUAUACUCCACAUGUCCAGAACUCUAUAGCACCAUAGUCCACAUCUCCAAAACUCUAUAUACCCUGCACUCCACAUCCCCAGAGCUCUAUAUCUACAUACUCCACAUCUUCAGAACUCUAUAUCCCCUUAGUUCAUCUCUCCAAAACUCUAUAUCCCUCUACUCCACAUCUUCAAACCUCUAUAUUCACAUACUCCACAUCUUCAAAACUCAAUAUCACUGUAGUCCACAUCUUCAAAACUCUAUAUCCCUGUACUCCACAUCUCCAAAACUCUAUAUCCACAUACUCCACAUGUCCAGAACUCUAUAUCUACCGUAAUCCACAUCUCCAAAUCUCUAAAUCCCCAGUACUCCACAUCUCCAAAAUUCUAUAUCCCCUGUACUCCACAUCUUCAGAUCUCUAUAUCCCCGAUAUUCCACAUCUCCAAAUUCCUAUACCUACAAUUUUCUAUAUCCCCCAAUUCCUAUACC
rnacentral:misc_RNA from 1 species